GGUUGGUUCUGUCAGUCACAGCAGUGGAAAAGCUGACUAAAGCAGCACCUAAUGCUGUAUAUUACCAUUUAAGGCACUGCUCCAGGAAUUACCCAAAUGACAAACAACCCAUGACAUUCUGCCCCAAGAGAAAUGCAAAGCAGAGACUGAAUUGAUCAAUUUUUUUUAAGCUCUCCACACCUGGAUAUGUUAAUUUGAAUGGAUGUAUUAGACUGGCAUAGAAGAAAAUCAAAGUCCUCCUGUUGUUUAUCUUCUUUACCUAAAGUGGCAGAUUUAUGAAGAAUUUGUUUGUACUAAAUAUAAAAUUCUUACAUCUAAGAAAGCAUCUUUGGACUAGAAAUAUCAGCAUCUUUCAAGGCUUUUGGCCCCAGGAGAGGACUACUUGGGGGAUGCUAGGUACCAAGUCAUCUGCAAAAUCAUAUGCCUAAUCCCAAAGUUUGCCGCCUCCAGGCCCCCAAACCAAUCAUUUUGGGAGGAAAUUGACCAACCCUACAAUCCCAAUAGCCAAGAUCUAGACUCUGGAUGUGAAGUCACAGGUGGAAUCUGCUUCCAGGCUGUAUCAUGCCAAGACUACGAUUGCAACUAAAUCAUAUGGAGAGGAGUCAAGCUAUCAGAUGGAGAUACUGAAGCCCAGAAAAUACCACUGAAAAAUAGAACAAGCAUGGACUUCAUGGAAGAGAGAUCUGAGUUCAGAUUUGGGAGCCACUAGCUCUACUCAUAAGUCUCUCCAGAAAGAAGUAGCUAAAAUCACACUUUGGAGUGAACUAGAGUAAGCUUUGCUCAUUAUAAUCUCAUUUUAAUGCUAAAUUCUCUGCCCAGGAACCAUUCCGGUCCACCAUUUCUGAACAAGCAAUGAAUGAAGAAGAACUGAGCAAGCUCAGGAGUGUGUCCAUAUCUGCAUGUGAGGAUGAAUCUUUCUAGUAUGAAUAUGUAUGAGUCACCCCUCCUUGUUUCUUUGUUCAGGGAGACUUUGUUUUGGGAGUGCUUUUGUUACUUGUUCUAGUAAUAAAUUUCUCUUCAUUCUUUA